rnacentral:misc_RNA from 1 species
UUAGACUAUAUUUUAGAUUCAGACACAGACUUUACAGCAUAAAGGCGGCGCCAAAGCGCCGAAACACACUUUACCUCCACGGAGUUUGAAGGGUCGAAGGCCAUUCAUUAAUGAUCCCUCCGCAGGUUCACCUACGGAGA